rnacentral:tRNA from 3 species
GCCCGGGUGGCGAAAUCGGUAGACGCAGCGGACUUAAAAUCCGCCACCUCUCACAGGGUGUACGGGUUCGAGUCCCGUCCCGGGCACCA